rnacentral:rRNA from 1 species
AUUGAACGCUGGCGGCAGGCUUAACACAUGCAAGUCGAGCGGAAACGAUGGGAGCUUGCUCCCAGGCGUCGAGCGGCGGACGGGUGAGUAACACUUAGGAAUCUACCUAGUAGUGGGGGAUAGCUCGGGGAAACUCGAAUUAAUACCGCAUACGACCUACGGGAGAAAGGGGGCAACUUGUUGCUCUCGCUAUUAGAUGAGCCUAAGUCGGAUUAGCUAGUUGGUGGGGUAAAGGCCUACCAAGGCGACGAUCUGUAGCUGGUCUGAGAGGAUGAUCAGCCACACCGGGACUGAGACACGGCCCGGACUCCUACGGGAGGCAGCAGUGGGGAAUAUUGGACAAUGGGGGCAACCCUGAUCCAGCCAUGCCGCGUGUGUGAAGAAGGCCUUUUGGUUGUAAAGCACUUUAAGCAGUGAAGAAGACCAUAUGGUUAAUACCCAUAUGCGAUGACAUUAGCUGCAGAAUAAGCACCGGCUAACUCUGUGCCAGCAGCCGCGGUAAUACAGAGGGUGCAAGCGUUAAUCGGAAUUACUGGGCGUAAAGCGAGCGUAGGUGGCUUGAUAAGUCAGAUGUGAAAUCCCCGGGCUUAACCUGGGAACUGCAUCUGAUACUGUUAGGCUAGAAUAGGUGAGAGGAAGGUAGAAUUCCAGGUGUAGCGGUGAAAUGCGUAGAGAUCUGGAGGAAUACCGAUGGCGAAGGCAGCCUUCUGGCAUCAUAUUGACACUGAGGUUCGAAAGCGUGGGUAGCAAACAGG